rnacentral:rRNA from 1 species
UACGUAGGUGGCAAGCGUUGUCCGGAUUUACUGGGCGUAAAGAGCGCGCAGGCGGUCGUUCAAGUCGCGUGUGAAAGCCCCCGGCUCAACUGGGGAGGGUCACGCGAUACUGAUCGACUCGAAGGCAGGAGAGGGUAGUGGAAUUCCCAGUGUAGUGGUGAAAUACGUAGAGAUUGGGAAGAACACCAGUGGCGAAGGCGGCUAUCUGGACGGUUCCUGACACUAAGACUCGAAAGCGUGGGGAGCAAACAGG